rnacentral:rRNA from 1 species
ACGAUAUGCUUUGGGGAGCUGUAAGUAAGCUUUGAUCCAGAGAUUUCCGAAUGGGGAAACCCAGCAUGAGUUAUGUCAUGUUAUCGAUAUGUGAAUACAUAGCAUAUCAGAAGGCACACCCGGAGAACUGAAACAUCUUAGUACCCGGAGGAAGAGAAAGAAAAUUCGAUUCCCUUAGUAGCGGCGAGCGAAACGGGAAGAGCCCAAACCAACAAGCUUGCUUGUUGGGGUUGUAGGACACUCUAUACGGAGUUACAAAGGACGACAUUAGACGAAUCAUCUGGAAAGAUGAAUCAAAGAAGGUAAUAAUCCUGUAGUCGAAAAUGUUGUCUCUCUUGAGUGGAUCCUGAGUACGACGGAGCACGUGAAAUUCCGUCGGAAUCUGGGAGGACCAUCUCCUAAGGCUAAAUACUCUCUAGUGACCGAUAGUGAACCAGUACCGUGAGGGAAAGGUGAAAAGCACCCCGGAAGGGGAGUGAAAUAGAACCUGAAACCGUGUGCUUACAAGUAGUCAGAGCCCGUUAAUGGGUGAUGGCGUGCCUUUUGUAGAAUGAACCGGCGAGUUACGAUUUGAUGCAAGGUUAAGCAGUAAAUGUGGAGCCGUAGCGAAAGCGAGUCUGAAUAGGGCGUUUAGUAUUUGGUCGUAGACCCGAAACCAGGUGAUCUACCCUUGGUCAGGUUGAAGUUCAGGUAACACUGAAUGGAGGACCGAACCGACUUACGUUGAAAAGUGAGCGGAUGAACUGAGGGUAGCGGAGAAAUUCCAAUCGAACCUGGAGAUAGCUGGUUCUCUCCGAAAUAGCUUUAGGGCUAGCCUCAAGUGAUGAUUAUUGGAGGUAGAGCACUGUUUGGACGAGGGGCCCCUCUCGGGUUACCGAAUUCAGACAAACUCCGAAUGCCAAUUAAUUUAACUUGGGAGUCAGAACAUGGGUGAUAAGGUCCGUGUUCGAAAGGGAAACAGCCCAGACCACCAGCUAAGGUCCCAAAAUAUAUGUUAAGUGGAAAAGGAUGUGGCGUUGCCCAGACAACUAGGAUGUUGGCUUAGAAGCAGCCAUCAUUUAAAGAGUGCGUAAUAGCUCACUAGUCGAGUGACACUGCGCCGAAAAUGUACCGGGGCUAAACAUAUUACCGAAGCUGUGGAUUGUCCUUUGGACAAUGGUAGGAGAGCGUUCUAAGGG